rnacentral:rRNA from 1 species
GACGAACGCUGGCGGCGUGCUUAACACAUGCAAGUCGAACGGAAAGGCCCUGCUUUUGUGGGGUGCUCGAGUGGCGAACGGGUGAGUAACACGUGAGUAACCUGCCCUUGACUUUGGGAUAACUUCAGGAAACUGGGGCUAAUACCGGAUAGGAGCUCCUGCUGCAUGGUGGGGGUUGGAAAGUUUCGGCGGUUGGGGAUGGACUCGCGGCUUAUCAGCUUGUUGGUGGGGUAGUGGCUUACCAAGGCUUUGACGGGUAGCCGACCUGAGAGGGUGACCGGCCACAUUGGGACUGAGACACGGGCCAGACUCCUCCGGGAGGAAGCAGUGGGGAAUAUUGCACAAUGGGCGGAAGCCUGAUCCAGCAACGCCGCGUGCGGGAUGACGGCUUUCGGGUGGUAAACCGCUUUCGCCUGUGACGAAGCGUGAGUGACGGUAAUGGGUAAAGAAGCACCGGCUAACUACGUG